UUUAAACACUUUUUAAAGUAUCAAUUGGAGGGCAAGUCUGGUGCCAGCAGCCGCGGUAAUUCCAGCUCCAAUAGCGUAUAUUAAAAUUAGUUGCRGUUAAAAAGCUCGUAGUUGAAUUUCUAGCUAAAAAUAACCGGUCUGCUUUUAAUAAAGGUGGUAUCUUGGUGUGUUUUUAGCAAUAAUGUCCUUUGAAAUGUUUUUUACUUCRUUGUAAUAAAUUAUAUUUAGGAUUUUUACUUUGAGAAAAUUAGAGUGU
rnacentral:rRNA from 1 species